rnacentral:tRNA from 1 species
GGUAAAAUGGCUGAAAUUUAGGCGGUAAAUUGUAAAUUUACUUAUGGAUUGUUUAUCCUUUUACUA